AACGAACGCUGGCGGCAUGCCUAACACAUGCAAGUCGAACGAGACCUUCGGGUCUAGUGGCGCACGGGUGCGUAACGCGUGGGAACCUGCCCUUAGGUUCGGAAUAACUCCCCGAAAGGGGUGCUAAUACCGGAUAAUGUCUUCGGACCAAAGAUUUAUCGCCUCUGGAUGGGCCCGCGUUGGAUUAGCUAGUUGGUAGGGUAAAAGCCUACCAAGGCGACGAUCCAUAGCUGGUCUGAGAGGAUGAUCAGCCACACUGGGACUGAGACACGGCCCAGACUCCUACGGGAGGCAGCAGUGGGUGAUAUUGGAAAAUGGGCGAAAGGCUGAUCCAGCAAUGACGCGUGAGUGAUGAAGGCAUUAGGGUUGUAAAGCUCUUUUACCCGGGAUGAUAAUGACAGUACCGGGAGAAUAAGCUCCGGCUAACUACGUG
rnacentral:rRNA from 1 species